rnacentral:rRNA from 1 species
GGCAACGUCCAUAUCAUGUUGAAAGAACCAAUUCUCGUCCGAUCAUUGAAGUUAAUCAACAAUGAGUCAGGUCAGUACUUGGAUGGGANGACCGCUUGGGAACACCUGAUGCUGUUGUCU